GUAGCUGCAGUAACAAUAAAUGUAUUCUUUAUAAACGUAUUAAAAAACAACCAACAUGAUAUAUGAUCUGUGCAUACAUACGUGCUGGUGUUUAUCUGUUGCGGAAAUAUUAAAUACGAAAUUAUCGAAAUCGCGUGUUGACGACCAAAGAAUCUAUUCUGUUUUUAGAUUUAGUAGCAGUGCCACAACGAUUAAGAAUGCAACUAGGAUUUUACUCCGUUAAAAGUUGAUUUCCGUCACUCAUAACCAUAGAAAACCACCAACUAUAAUUCGAUUAAUGUGUAGAUGUUUUUGUAAACACUUCUAUAAAAAUAAAUGAUAAUACCUGUGAUCAGUUAUUAAAAAUGUAUCGUAUAAACAUAAAACUUUUUGUUACUGACAACACCAGUAUUGGAUUAAAAAUAUCUUACGUACACGCAGCCUUGAACUUUCGCAAUGGAUGAUAAAUCCUAGUUACAGGUGGGUAAUACCUAUUAGACAUUAGUUAUUACAAUCGUAAUUUAUUUUUUCAAGAAGCAAACUUUAAAAUUAUUGAUUUUUAAAGUUGGUUGUAAUUGAAAUUCAAUUCUAAAAAAAACACAAAUUAUAUAUAUAUUUGUACAAUUGUUAUUUUUUGUUUACACUCUUAUGUAAAAUUGCAUAGCUAAGAAGAAUGUUUUAAUUAAUAUAACAAUCAUACUAUACUAUAAAGGUUGACUUUUUGUAAAAUAAUUUAAAAUUUAGACAGUUGUAGUGAAUUAUAUAGAGAUGUACUUUGUAAGUUUGUUGCACUUUCUUAUGCUUAAAAAAUACGACAUUUGACGUGAGUUAGCACGUGCCUUCUAUUUAAAACAUUUUCUUGUUUAUACUUAUCUAGAAAGAUUCUUAAAAUCUAUAUUAUACGAUUUAAGUAAUAUGUACAAAUUGUGGUUAUUAGAGAAACUA